AUUAUGAGAGUUUGAUCCUGGCUCAGGACGAACGCUGGCGGCGUGCCUAAUACAUGCAAGUCGAACGCUUCUUUCCUCCCGAGUGCUUGCACUCAAUUGGAAAGAGGAGUGGCGGACGGGUGAGUAACACGUGGGUAACCUACCCAUCAGAGGGGGAUAACACUUGGAAACAGGUGCUAAUACCGCAUAACAGUUUAUGCCGCAUGGCAUAAGAGUGAAAGGCGCUUUCGGGUGUCGCUGAUGGAUGGACCCGCGGUGCAUUAGCUAGUUGGUGAGGUAACGGCUCACCAAGGCCACGAUGCAUAGCCGACCUGAGAGGGUGAUCGGCCACACUGGGACUGAGACACGGCCCAGACUCCUACGGGAGGCAGCAGUAGGGAAUCUUCGGCAAUGGACGAAAGUCUGACCGAGCAACGCCGCGUGAGUGAAGAAGGUUUUCGGAUCGUAAAACUCUGUUGUUAGAGAAGAACAAGGACGUUAGUAACUGAACGUCCCCUGACGGUAUCUAACCAGAAAGCCACGGCUAACUACGUGCCAGCAGCCGCGGUAAUACGUAGGUGGCAAGCGUUGUCCGGAUUUAUUGGGCGUAAAGCGAGCGCAGGCGGUUUCUUAAGUCUGAUGUGAAAGCCCCCGGCUCAACCGGGGAGGGUCAUUGGAAACUGGGAGACUUGAGUGCAGAAGAGGAGAGUGGAAUUCCA
rnacentral:rRNA from 1 species